GUUUAGUAAAAGUUUUAUUAAAGUAUGGUUAAAAUAUGAUAGUCAAAUUUCUGAGGAUCAUUGUGCACCGCUUCCUCCAACCCCAGGCAGUGGUAUUCUCUGUUCUUUCACUUUAACCCGCCUCCCUCCUCCUCACUCAGCUUUAUAAAAAACAAUCAGCGAAUAAUUAUAGCUACUUUUUAUUGUAGUAAAGCAGCUUAAACAUGACGUAAAGCAGCUUAAACAUGACGUAAAGCAGCUUAAACAUGACGUAAAGCAGCUUAAACAUGUUCAAAAAAAUUUAAAGUAAAAUAUUACCUUGAUUUGCACUCAGAAUAAAAUUAUCAAGAAGAACUCCGUGUAAAUUUGGGUUUUUAUUUAUUAACGCAUUCAACAAAUCAGUUGUGUGAUUAUAUGCUAAAGUAAAUACUUUUAUUAGUUUUUAGACAAUAACCUAUAACAAUACAAAUCAAACAUAUGUUAUGGUACCUACAAACGGUGUUAUUGCAUCUUCAAACGAUGCUAUUGCACCAUCAAAUGAUACAAGCUAAGCUCUUUGUUCUCUUAGUCAGCUUGAGGUUUCAGGUUUUGUCUAAAUCGAUAAGUCAAUCAUAACAUUUUAACAUUACAAGUUUACAUUUGUUGGCGUAGUGAAUUACUUUCACAAGCACAAACAAGGUUUCUGAAAGAAGAUCGUUUUGAUCACCUUUUACAAGCGUAGGAUUGUGAAGUUUGGGCGUAGUCUAAUACUGAAAAAAGAGUCUUUAUUGGCUACAUUAAAGCAAUUUGUUUUUGAAUAAAUAUGUUGAUUUAUAUGAGAAGUUUUUUGUAAUUUUAAAUGUUCCUCAAUUCUUUUACUCAAAUGUCGAGUGGUUUGACCCACAUAAUAAGCAUUACAGCUUUUACACACAAAUUUAUAUAUGACGUUUAAGCAGAGAUAUUGAGGAGUUUUAUCUUUGGUUGAAAAAUAUGUACUAAUUUUAAAGGAUGAGAUUGCCAAUUUAA